GUCUCUGCGGCGAAAAUUGUUAAUGCGUUCGGUUGUUAACCAAAAGUCAGUGGUUCGAGCCCACCCAGGGACA
rnacentral:tRNA from 1 species